rnacentral:rRNA from 1 species
UACAGGGGGUGCAAACGUUGCUCGGAAUCAUUGGGCGUAAAGCGCACGUAGGCGGUCUGUUAUGUCGGACGUGAAAGCCCUGAGCUCAACUCAGGAACUGCAUCCGAAACUGGCGGUCUGGAGUAGUGGAGAGGAAAGCAGAAUUCCUGGUGUAGAGGUGAAAUUCGUAGAUAUCAGGAGGAACACCGGUGGCGAAGGCGGCUUUCUGGACACUUACUGACGCUGAGACGCGAAAGCGUGGGGAGCAAACAGG